AUUGAACGCUGGCGGCAUGCCUUACACAUGCAAGUCGAACGGCAGCACGGGUGCUUGCACCUGGUGGCGAGUGGCGAACGGGUGAGUAAUACAUCGGAACAUGUCCUGUAGUGGGGGAUAGCCCGGCGAAAGCCGGAUUAAUACCGCAUACGAUCCACGGAUGAAAGCGGGGGACCUUCGGGCCUCGCGCUAUAGGGUUGGCCGAUGGCUGAUUAGCUAGUUGGUGGGGUAAAGGCCUACCAAGGCGACGAUCAGUAGCUGGUCUGAGAGGACGACCAGCCACACUGGGACUGAGACCCGGCCCAGACUCCUACGGGAGGCAGCAGUGGGGAAUUUUGGACAAUGGGCGAAAGCCUGAUCCAGCAAUGCCGCGUGUGUGAAGAAGGCCUUCGGGUUGUAAAGCACUUUUGUCCGGAAAGAAAUCCUUGACUCUAAUACAGUCGGGGGAUGACGGUACCGGAAGAAUAAGCACCGGCUAACUACGUG
rnacentral:rRNA from 1 species